rnacentral:rRNA from 1 species
ACCUAGCGGAAGGAUCAUUG